rnacentral:rRNA from 1 species
GACGAACGCUGGCGGCGUGCUUAACACAUGCAAGUCGAACGGAAAGGCCCUGCUUUUGUGGGGUGCUCGAGUGGCGAACGGGUGAGUAACACGUGAGUAACCUGCCCUUGACUUUGGGAUAACUUCAGGAAACUGGGGCUAAUACCGGAUAGGAGCUCCUGCUGCAUGGUGGGGGUUGGAAAGUUUCGGCGGUUGGGGAUGGACUCGCGGCUUAUCAGCUUGUUGGUGGGGUAGUGGCUUACCAAGGCUUUGACGGGUAGCCGGCCUGUGAGGGUGACCGGCCAAAUUGGGACUGAGAUACGGCCCAGACUCGAACGGGAGGCAGCAGUGGGGAAUAGUGCACAAUGGGAGGAAGCCUGAUGGAGCAACGCCGCGAGGGGGAAGACGGGCUUCGGGUUGUAAACCGCUUUCGCCUGUGACGAAGCGAGAGUGACGGUAAUGGGUAAAGAAGCACCGGCUAACUACGUG